CAAAUCCCUAGCACCACGCUUCCAAAUCCCGGAGGCCUGCCGUCGUUCUCCACGUCGUCCCACUGCCGCCCCACGCCGCCCAACUACCGCCCCAGAGCCGCCGCCGUCUCGUUCCCAUCUCCCAACUCCGCUCGUCCGACCGCGCUGGUCGCGGAUGCUGGGGCUUCUCGGCUCCCCGUCGUGGCCGCAUCUGCCGCGGGACACCAGCGGCUGAUUGGGUCACUGACCAACACCGAGGGGCUCAGGUUCGGCGUGGUAGCACAGAGGACAACUGUUGGUAGCAUUGAGCUGACGAAGAGAAGUGGCAGAUUUUUUGCUACGACACCUUAGUGCAUAAGGUGUGUGGAGUGUUGUAUAUUUUUGCUUUUAGUAUAUGAUUUCUUGAUGUGGUGCCUUUGAGUCUGGCUGUUAUCUUAGUGUAUUACUAGCAUAUCUCCCAGCCAAUAUAGCGUGUGACCAAGAAUUGAAGUUUGCCACUGAUUCUUAUAUUGUCUAAUUUGGUUGGUUAUUAGGAAUUUAGGAUUCUUGCUCCAUGUACUGCUAUACGUGUGAGUUUUGCAGGUGGAUGCAUUGGUUCUGCUAGGACAAAUAUAGAUGGACUAGUUCUUAAAGCAAGUGAUAUUGAAAAAAGAGGAACUCCUAGCUCACAAUAUGGUUCCAAUUCUCGACAAAACUCAAGAGAUGAAGCUGAGGAAGAUAAAGAUGGUGAUGAAGAUGAUGAAGAGCUCUUUGUUCAUAGAAGAGUCAUUGCAAAGCCCCCUGCAAGAAGCUCAUCAGCCCAUGAAGAUGAAAGCCUUAUUGGUAUGGAUGUGCUUCUAUAUGCAUGGACUGGUCCUGAAACUCCUGUUGCUAAGGCAACAAUUAUCUCACUUGACCCAGACACUAUUGUGGGCGGAGAGCCUCUUGGACCAGCAACUUAUGAGGUUCUUGUCGAUGUUGCGAUUAGAAGGGAUGCUACGGUGCCUUAUGAAUAUGACGGUUUACAAAUAAUCGCUGAUGCUGUCAGAAGGUCCAUUGCAUGGCCAUCUAGCAAGAUGAAGCCCUACAAGCCAGGGGCAUCUUCCUCAUCCCGCCAUUAAGGAAAGACGUACAAACGGACCAGGAAGGAACCAUGAAGAUGGCAGUUCGUGUUCGCCAGGCAUUUUGUGUGUAAUGGAGCAAAUACAUUGUCUAUAUCAUUUUGUGAACCUAUAUGGCGUCUUGUCAUCUGUGUAUUCUGUGUAAUGGAGAAAACAAUGAAUUGGUCUGACAUGCAUCUAUCAUUUUGUAACAUAUUGGGUGUUUCGGUGACUCGAGCAUAUAA